UCGGGAAUUUUGGGCAAUGGGCGAAAGCCUGACCCAGCAACGCCGCGUGAAGGAUGAAGUAUUUCGGUAUGUAAACUUCGAAAGAAUAGGAAGAAUAAAUGACGGUACUAUUUAUAAGGUCCGGCUAACUACGUGCCAGCAGCCGCGGUAAUACGUAGGGACCAAGCGUUGUUCGGAUUUACUGGGCGUAAAGGGCGCGUAGGCGGCAAUUCAAGUCAUCUGUGAAAUCUCCGGGCCUAACUCGGAACGGUCAGAUGAUACUGCUUUGCUAGAGUGCAGAAGGGGCAAUCGGAAUUCUUGGUGUAGCGGUGAAAUGCGUAGAUAUCAAGAGGAACACCUGAGGUGAAGACGGGUUGCUGGGCUGACACUGACGCUGAGGCGCGAAAGCCAGGGGAGCAAACGGGAUUAGAUACCCCUGUAGUCCCUGAGCGGGCUGGCAAGGCGCAU
rnacentral:rRNA from 1 species